rnacentral:rRNA from 1 species
UCCUACGGGGGGCAGCAGUGGGGGAUAUUGCACAAUGGGGGAAACCCUGAUGCAGCGAUGCCGCGUGAAUGAAGACGGCCUUCGGGUUGUAAAGUUCUGUCGCAGGGGACGAAAAUGACGGUACCCUGCAAGAAAGCUCCGGCUAACUACGUGCCAGCAGCCGCGGUAAUACGUAGGGAGCAAGCGUUGUCCGGAAUUACUGGGUGUAAAGGGAGCGUAGGCGGGAGGAUAAGUUGAAUGUGAAAUCUAUGGGCUCAACCCAUAGCUGCGUUCAAAACUGUUCUUCUUGAGUGAAGUAGAGGCAG